GGCUACCUUCUUGGCCUCCAUGUGUGCUAGGGUUUGCAGAGUAGGGGAAUAAACAAAAGAAAACUUGUUUGUUGUGUUUUUUUGAAAGUGAAGGUACUUAGGUGACGGCAACUGACUUGCUAGUCUGGCUGCCCACAGCUAACUACCGAAUUUUCAUGCAAAGGUAAGAACACGGCUCUCUAUAGAGGCGUUUUCUUGCCCCUUAACCACUUUUUCUUUUCAACUGUUACGCAGGCCGCGGGCCAUCGCUUCUCCGGCCGCCGUGUCGAUCUGUCCUGGCUCUCUCGCCUUUCACUUCUCAAAGGGGAAAAAAAAAUCAACUUGUUUUCGUUAGCACUAAAAUAUAGUGAUGUUGGAGGACCAGAUCUUAAAUGAGGUUUAAAUGGACGUUGGUGUACAGUUAAAGCUACAUGGUAGGAAUAAAGUUAAUGUUGUGCCUUGUUUGUACGCUCUGUCACAAGGCUUGGACUUCUUGGCCGCUGUGCCUUUUUUUUAUUUCUCUCUUUUCCAUCGUGGCCAUUAAUCUACCGUUAGCCCUAGAACGUUAAAGUAGAUCCUGGUGAUCUACAAAUAUAGUACCUGGCUUUAGAUGGCAGCCCUGCCAUAGCCUUAGUAUGGCCAUUACGUCCCUUAAUGCAAGUAGGCCAUGAUCGCUAACUGUGCCCGCGCCUUCGUGAUCUACUUGUGUUCUUGGACGUGUGGCCUUGCGCGUAUAGUCAUGUUACAUAGGCAAACAUGGGUGCCUUCCGCGUCCAUGCACAGUAAGUGAACUAACCUGUACUUUUCUUCUAGCAUCAGUCAAGAGGAGCACCGACAUCCCUGCAUGUCCAUCUUAAUUAGAUUGCGUUUUAGUUAAGUUAAAAUUUCAAAUGGUAAGUGCAGGUUAUCUUUCUUGCUUGGCCGCCGUGCCAUUACUAUACCUGCUCUGACCUGAAUCUUCAUUCUUCAUGGCCACUGUGUCAUGACUGUACUUGGUCUUGGUCUUUAUGCCAGUCUAUCAUUUCUGAUCUUUUUCCUACUAAGUUUGUGUGUGUGUGUGUGUGCGCGUGCGUGUGUGGUUGGUCUGUCUGACUUGUGUGUAUGGUAUCCGUCUGUCUGUCCUUUGUGUCAAGUCUCUGUCUGUCCUGUGUGUCGGAUUUAGUCACUUUUUUAGUCUCAACUUAAAUGGAUGAUUUUAAAGUUGAUUAGUCUUGAGGCGUCUGAUUUCUGCAGGAAAUUCUGGUACCUUAUUUUGAAAUGGCUUUAAUUUAAACAUUUUAUUUUGGUCUUGAAUCUCAGUUAUCAUAGUUGUAACUUGGACUGUUGACAAACGUGGAAGCUGAUGAAUCGUGUAGUAAAUGCAUCGAAGUUUACUGUAGCUUGUCUAAAGUUCUUUCAAAGUGCUGUAAAAAUGUAGUAAUUGAUUAUGAUGAGCUAAACCAGGUCUUCCUUUAUUCUCAACUGGUAAUUGCUUUGGUUCCUGAUUUGAUUAUGAAGCUAAACCUUUGAUUUAUAUGCAAGUGUAGUCACAUUGUAGGUGUUAUUCAGCCCAUGGAUAAUGUUAUGAUAUACUUUAAAUCUGGCAUUUGUUGGCACACUUUUUAUAUCUAUUUAACUCUUAAACUUUACUAACUACCAUCAGCCUUUGUAGUCGCUAACUGAAAUCGAAUUAAAUAUUAAUGCUGACUUGUCUCACUCUGCCAAGUUUAUUUCCCUCUAAAGGAGUUGAACCUUUUUGUGUUCAUAGUCUUUUUGCGCGUCAUGUUGGGAGGCCUCCCAGCAGGGGAUUUUUAUCGUCCCCUGCGAAACUAUGCGUUACUCGUCUUAGGGAUGCAGGGCUAUCCUGCACAGUUUCUUUCAAAAACUAGAUUGUAGGUUUCAGGAUUAGAGCGCGUUUCUUUUCUUUAGGAGGACACAAACCUGGCAGAGAGACAACUCGGAUUAUUUAAGUGAAAGUUGCGCCAAACUUUUUAUCUUUUGAUACGAUGACUUGAAAUAAAACCUUUUUAUUUUGUGGGCUGAAAUCAGACUGACGUUGGCUUCAUGUUAAAGACUGUUGUAGCAGGAGUGAGCAGCUGCAGCUUUUUAAUUUAUUUUUGGUGAUUUGAUUUGUUUCUUGGAUUGACUUGGUGUCUGGAGCUUUGUGGUUAACAGUGAUCAUGUAAACGUGUAAACACAAGUGGUCUUUUGCCUCUUAUUUGCGAAGCUGGCAGCUGGUUGAAAUGAUAGGACUUUAUGGUUUGCCCAAAGUGGGAUUUUUGUUGGAGCAUAGGGUUAACACCUCACCAUACACUAGCUAUUUCAGCAAACAAGUAUCUGUAGUCCGUUAUUACCCAUAACUUUCUUUCCAAUUUCAUUAUUUAGGCAGCUUGUAGAGUCUUUAGGAAGAUGCUUAAUCCCAAUGUCUUGGUUGUUGCAUGAGAAACUUCUAUCUCUUAGAUGUGUUGGCGAAAGUUCCUCCUGAGUUUUGUAGACUUGCCCUAAAGUUUCUCUCCGCUUUAACUCUUGUUGAGCUUUGCAUUAAAUGAUUCCUCCAACUUGUCUCCAUAUCAAUUUUUUUCUUCCUGCAGACUUCCACCACCCACUGCUGCUGUUGCAUCUGCUGAAGGUAGCUGUAUCCUGAUUCACUGCGUCUUCAUGUGUUUGGUAAGAAGUGUCAUGAGACUACUAACAAUGUAAACACCUUUAAAAUGCUUGAUCUAAUUUACCCAAAUGCUUCAUCAUUUUAGGACAGAAAAUCAUUGAAUUUGACAUUCUUGGGGUCAGUAACCUGACCUCUAGAUGUUUGGGAAACCAUGCAUCAUGAUGUUUGAGUUAUUUAAUUGCUCAAUUUUUAAAUCAGUCAAGAUUUUAUGAGCUGGGUCUUCUUCACACAACAGAAAACAAGGUAAAUAGAGUCGACUCGUAACAUGGUAAGGCAUUUCGUCCUUCCCCUUCUUCUCUGUGUGUGAGGAAAUCUGGCCACGGAUCCUGACUGAGUGGCAUACCAUGACUGUGCCGUUUCCAAAAUCAGAUAAGGAUCCAUCUGAUUUUGUAACUCGGCCUGUCGUGAUAUGCUUUUAACUUCCUCCGAAACAAAGGAUUGGAAUGGACAGGUUUGUAGUGUAAAUCACAUCACAUGUAGAUGGUGAAGCAUUUGUUUAAAUUGGAGUCAAGCAUUUUCAGGCGUCUGCUUUGUCAAUACUCUGGUGCCACGUCUUCCCAAACACAUGAGAAGCUCUGAAUUGUGAAACUGCUGCCUCUUGCAGAUGUUACAACAGCAAUGGUUGUUGAAAGGCUGCAGGGAGAGAAAAGGAGAUCUGAGGACAGGAAAGUGGAAUUGAUUUCAUGCUUAACAAAAUGAGGGUUUCAGCAGAGGACAUUUUUGUGGCGAGGCUACAGAAUCAGAAGGAACGUUUGUCUGGGCAACUGGGAGAUUUACAGUUUUUCAUGCAGCCAACCAAGACAUUGGGGUUAGCAUCAUCCCAAAUGGCUGGUGAAGAUUGCUUGUAACUGUCAGUGUAGGACAGGAAAGGCAGGUAUAGGUUAGGGAGGGCAUCCAUCAGUGAGCUCUGACUGGAUGUGAGGACCUGUCACACUUGACCAGCACAUUCCUGGAUCAGAGGACUCCAUGUUGGACACCUUGACCUGGAGAAGUCCCGUCCUGGAUGGCUGCGGUGAUGACCUCUCCCAAGAUGAACCGAACCUUCUACGACGAGGACUUUGCCCAAGAUGAACCGACCUUUUCCACCUCUUUUUCACACGAUGUCUUCAGGUGGUGGACCUUGCCAAACUGUGCACAUGCCUCAAUGGCUGCUACGUCACUCUGCCCAACAGGACAUGGUCACCGAGAUGUUUUUAUUUUUUUUAAAUGGACUUUAACCCCCCUCCGUCCCCACUGACCCACAACUACACGACAAAACACUGUACAUGUGAUGCAUCACCACACUAAAAACACAGACACUGCUACUUUCAGCCUGUAAUGUUAGACAUUGAAAACUUGUAUUUAUUGCCUUCUUUAUAUCAAGUAAAACUUU